CAUUUACAUUAUGUUCAUGAAUGCAGCACACUCACACACCAGGUGUGCUGAUGGUUGAUGAGGUCACUGUGGGGGUAUAAAAACUUGGCAGCAGCUCCUCCAUCAAUCACUUCAGAACCAGCUGGAAGAAUUCAGUGGAGUCCUUCUGGGUUUGUGUCGUUGUCGAGCAGAAUGAUGGAUAAGAUGUGUGUUGUUUUCUUCACUGCUCUCCUGCUGGCUUUCUGUUUCUCACCACAGAUUGUCAUGACACAGAGUGGUGUGAGACCCACAACUUCAACCACGAAUGUGUCGACCACUACCCCAAAAGGUACCACUAUCGCAGCCAACAACUCGUCCAACUCCAGCAGCUGCUCUGCAGGAAUCGACACCUUCACUCUGCUGUUCCCUCUCACUCUGACUGCUGCUUCCCUUCAAGGCUGGUCCCAGUAACUGACCAGAUUCUCCCCCACRCAAAUGGAGUGGGACAGUAAACCUGGCCUUCUCAAAAGAUGUUUCCCUCUAAAGGACAUCUUCAAUAGUCAACCCACGUUUUGCCUUUGGAGCAGGGAGAUGUUUCCACUAGAGCUCACGAGGGGGAAAAGUGCAGUCUUGUGUUUGAGCACUGAAGCAGGACUCUCUGAUCGUCUGUCAUCAUGGACUAAAUGUUUGUUCUAAUGUGGGCGGAGGAUGACCACUGGUGUUUUUGUGUUGAGAUGGGAGAAUUUGGGGUUUGAAAAUCUUGUGCUUAUUAAUAUUUUAAAAUGUUAAAUUUUUGAAGGCCUUGAUGAUAAACUUUGUAAUUGACUUUUUAUGCCUGUCUAGGUAAAUUAAAGCUAUAUAAAAUA